rnacentral:rRNA from 1 species
UAGGGAAUCUUCCACAAUGGACGCAAGUCUGAUGGAGCAACGCCGCGUGAGUGAAGAAGGUUUUCGGACCGUAAAGCUCUGUUGUUGGUGAAGAAGGAUAGAGGUAGUAACUGGCCUUUAUUUUGACGGUAAUCAACCAGAAAGUCACGGCUAACUACGUGCCAGCAGCCGCGGUAAUCGUAGGUGGCAAGCGUUGUCCGGAUUUAUUGGGCGUAAAGCGAGCGCAGGCGGAAGAAUAAGUCUGAUGUGAAAGCCCUCGGCUUAACCGAGGAAUUGCAUCGGAAACUGUUUUUCUUGAGUGCAGAAGAGGAGAGUAGAACUCCAUGUGUAGCGGUGGAAUGCGUAGAUAUAUGGAAGAAUACCAGUGGCGAAGGCGGCUCUCUGGUCUGCAACUGACGCUGAGGCUCGAAAGCAUGGGUAGCGAACAGGAUUAGAUACCCUGGUAGUCCAUGCCGUAAACGAUGAGUGCUAAGUGUUGGGAGGCUUCCGCCUCUCAGUGCUGCAGCUAACGCAUUAAGCACUCCGCCUGGGGGAGUACGACCGCAAGGUUGAA